GUGAUGCCACAGUAGUUUCAACAGAAGGGAAACUCCAGUGACAAAAUAACUGCAGGCUAUGAUUUAAAUACUUUUUAUAUAUGUUUUUGCAGUUUGAAUAUCAGCCGAAUGACUGGAUUUACUAAAAGAUGGAUCCCAUUGUUUGAUGAUUAUACCAAAAUACUUUUCACAUUGUUUUGUUUUAAUUCUUUGGGCUGGAUGCUGAAGAAUGUUGUCUGACCGAUGCUGUGAUGAUCCAGAUGUCAGAACAAAGGCUUCAGACUUGAACACUACUCUCUAUUCCUCAAGGAGCUGCCUGUCACCAUGGCGACGCAGGUGUUAAUCACACCCACAGUGUCGGUGUUUGUGUCCACCGUGCUGUCCCUGCUCAGUCUGGCUCUGCUGCUGCUGCUGUGUGUCAUCAGGAAGAAAAGAAGGCUGGAGGGAACAUACAGGCCCAGUGCAGAGGAGAGGAAACAGGUGGGAUCGCCGGGAUCUGAAAAACCUGGCCUGCCUCUUCCGUUGCCCAAAGAAGAACGCCUCAUAUGACGAACGUGCUGAAGUGGACUCGCCAGCCCGCCGCUGUGGAAACCUGCGGUUUUCUGAUGUUUCUGUCUUCUGGGAUGAUCUGUGUUUGCACCACAACAUCUUGAGACACACGCAACACUGUGUGUGCCUUUUCAUUCUUGGUGACAACGGAUACACUGAUCGUUCAAUUCUAUCGCUGCAGGAAAAGAGGAAGUGUGUGUGUGUGUGUGUCACUUGAGUUUCUCAAAAUAACUCACUCCUCUCAUUCUGCCACAUAAGGAACAUGAGCUUAAGUAUAUUUUGUAUUUGUACAGAGGUUAGUAUAUUUUUACUCUACUUUGUGUUCUAUGUAUUUAUAUAUAACAUAAAUUGUUUUACACUAUUUCCAGUAAUUAAGAAUAUUGAUUAAAACACUGAUUAUGACUGAUGCACUUUUAUGUCAAGCUCUGAGAAGUUAAAUUUAAAAAGUAUGUAUUGUCCACAAGGUGUUCUGUUAAUAAAUCUGUAAUGUGCACAUCUCUUUCU